AAGUCGUAACAAGGUAACCGUAGGUGAACCUGCGGUUGGAUCAUUAACAAAUAUUAUUGAUUUUUUUCUCUCUCUUGGGGGGGGGGAAAAUAUCUCUAACACUUGUGUGCACUGUUUACUGUCUCUCGGUGUUGGGUUUUCAUUUUUUUUUGAUACCCUCACCAACUUAAACUUGAUAUAAAAUAAAUUCUAUGCCUUUAAUUUUAAAUUUUAUAAUUUGAAAACAACUUUUAACAACGGAUCUCUAGGCUCUCA
rnacentral:misc_RNA from 1 species